GACGAACCGUGCGAACGUUAUUCGGAAUCACUGGGCUUAAAGCGCGUGUAGGCGGGCCGCCCCGUCGGCUGCUGAAAUCCCCCGGCUCAACCGGGGAAGGGGCACCGAUCACGAGCGGCCUGGAGGGGAGUGAGGGGGACCUGGAACUCCGGUGGAGCGGUGAAAUGCGUUGAGAUCGGAAGGAACGCCGGUGGCGAAAGCGGUCCGCU
rnacentral:rRNA from 1 species